CCCCCCCCCCCCCCCCCCCCCCCCCCCCCCCCCCCCCCCCCCCCCCCCCCGGCAGCGGGACGCGGGCGGCGAAGCGGCCCCGAAACCGAGUCUGGUGGCGCCCCAAGUCUCCCCGAGUGACCCCGGCUUGCCAGAUAUUGCGAGUGAGGAAACAACAGGGUUGUCAUACCUAGUAGGACGAAGAGGCUGUGGAAACAAACAUGGAGUAAUCCAGUGGCAUGCAGCUGUGAUGGAAGGAUAUCCUGCACAGCUUUACCUGGUUGCAUAUGAAAAGUCUUCAUUUGGAAGUUUGAUAAACAACAAAUCCUUCAAAUAGAACAGACUGCAACUCUGCUCUGCCUGGAAAUUACACAUGCAAGUAAGUCUAUAACAGAACUAAUUUUCUGAGCUUGUUUUUUGUCACAGUCUGUAGGCAAAAAUUAGCAUUUUCCUCUUUUUCCCCUGUGGCUUGAAUCCUGCAUUUAACUUGUGCAUGCAUAGAUCUGUCUGCUGCACACAGACACCAUAGUUUGCCUGGACGAAUCUGAAUGAGAGAUCACAUUUUCUGUAACAGUCUGGUCCUGUUAGGCACAGUAAAAAUUGUCAGGGAACCUUAAUCUUUUUACUAAGCAAAUAUUUCCUUAAGUUUGCAUAAGC
rnacentral:lncRNA from 12 species